UAAAAAGAAAAAAAAAAAGAAAAUUUCAUUUUUUCUUUUCUUCUUCUUCUUCUCUUCCCUUCACCGCCAAGCAUUUUGAAGAACAAUUCUCAUCCAACUUCCAUUCUUUACAUUCUUCAAUUUGCAGAGAACAUUUAAGAGAGAGUUUGAAAGAAGAAGAGGAAUUUUACUAGAAUUUUGAGGUUGAAGAAGAGGAGGAGAACUCAACAAAGUGUAUCCAUGGCUGAAUUUUGGUUCAUUUUGCACAUCACUGGUUUUUAAUUUGGUUUGAACACUUCAAAAGGAAUUAAGAGGGUAUACGAAUAAUCAUUGGAUAUUCACUCGAAACCAGGAGGUCUCUGGUUUUUCUUAUAUUUCAGAGUGUACCGUUUGAAUUAGGAUUUCUAUUUGGUAUGGUUGGAAAGCUUAUUCAAUUUACGACAACAUUCAUGAAGAAAUCAUGAACCCAAAACGACUAAAAAUCAGUUAAAUUGUAGGGACAAGUUCAAGAGGUCGUGUGCACGUGAUUCUGGAAGUGGUUCUGUUUCGAGGGUUAUCUGAGUUUAUUCACAGGGAUUCAGAUUUCCAUGUCUUCAGGUAGAGAUCGAGUUCCCGGUGCCUGAUAGACUACCUUAGUCUGCUGAAGCUCCGUUAUCGAUUGCCAGUACGUGUUUUGAGUUGGGCAUAGAGUCUAUAGUGUUAUGAUGUAUAUACACCCUUGUAUGUUAUAGAUACUCCACAAUUUGUAUAAGCUUUAGGAGCUGCAGUUGUGUAAAUUUUUUGUCGGUUAUAUUUUGAUUAAGGUGUCUUUAGCUUUA